rnacentral:rRNA from 1 species
AUUGAACGCUGGCGGCAUGCUUUACACAUGCAAGUUGAACGGUAACAGGCCGCAAGGUGCUGACGAGUGGCGAACGGGUGAGUAAUGCAUCGGAACGUGCCCAGUCGUGGGGGAUAACGCAGCGAAAGCUGUGCUAAUACCGCAUACGAUCUAUGGAUGAAAGCGGGGGACCGUAAGGCCUCGCGCGAUUGGAGCGGCCGAUGUCAGAUUAGGUAGUUGGUGGGGUAAAGGCCUACCAAGCCAACGAUCUGUAGCUGGUCUGAGAGGACGACCAGCCACACUGGGACUGAGACACGGCCCAGACUCCUACGGGAGGCAGCAGUGGGGAAUUUUGGACAAUGGGCGCAAGCCUGAUCCAGCAAUGCCGCGUGCAGGAAGAAGGCCUUCGGGUUGUAAACUGCUUUUGUACGGAACGAAACGGUCUGGGUUAAUACCCUGGACUAAUGACGGUACCGUAAGAAUGAGCACCGGCUAACUACGUGCCAGCCGCCGCAGUAAGAC